rnacentral:rRNA from 1 species
UACAGAGGUCUCAAGCGUUGUUCGGAUUCAUUGGGCGUAAAGGGUGCGUAGGCGGCGCGGUAAGUCGGGUGUGAAAUCUUGGAGCUUAACUCCGAAACUGCAUUCGAUACUGCCGUGCUUGAGGACUGGAGAGGAGACUGGAAUUUACGGUGUAGCGGUGAAAUGCGUAGAGAUCGUAAGGAAGACCAGUGGCGAAGGCGGGUCUCUGGGCCAGUUCUGACACUCAUCCGCGAAAGCGUGGGGAGCAAACAGG